rnacentral:rRNA from 1 species
AAACUGCGAAUGGCUCAUUAAAUCAGUUAUCGUUUAUUUGAUAGUACCUUACUACUUGGAUAACCGUGGUAAUUCUAGAGCUAAUACAUGCUGAAAACCCCAACUUCGGGAGGGGUGUAUUUAUUAGAUAAAAAACCAACGCCCUUCGGGGCUUCUUGGUGAUUCAUGAUAACUUAACGGAUCGCAUGGCCUUGCGCCGGCGACGGUUCAUUCAAAUUUCUGCCCUAUCAACUUUCGAUGGUAAGGUAUUGGCUUACCAUGGUUUCAACGGGUAACGGGGAAUUAGGGUUCGAUUCCGGAGAGGGAGCCUGAGAAACGGCUACCACAUCCAAGGAAGGCAGCAGGCGCGCAAAUUAUCCAAUCCCGACACGGGGAGAUAGUGACAAUAAAUACUGAUACAGGGCUCUUUUGGGUCUUGUAAUUGGAAUGAGUACAAUUUAAACCUCUUAACGAGGAACAAUUGGAGGGCAAGUCUGGUGCCAGCAGCCGCGGUAAUUCCAGCUCCAAUAGCGUAUAUUAAAGUUGUUGCAGUUAAAAAGCUCGUAGUUGAACCUUGGGUCUGGCUGGCAGGUCCGCCUCACCGCGUGUACUUGUCCGGCCGGGCCUUCCUUCUGGAGAACCUCAUGCCCUUCACUGGGCGUGUUGGGGACCAGGACUUUUACUUUGAAAAAAUUAGAGUGUUCAAAGCAGGCCUUUGCUCGAAUACGUUAGCAUGGAAUAAUAGAAUAGGACGUGCGGUCCUAUUUUGUUGGUUUCUAGGACCGCCGUAAUGAUUAAUAGGGACAGUCGGGGGCAUCAGUAUUCAAUUGUCAGAGGUGAAAUUCUUGGAUUUAUUGAAGACUAACUACUGCGAAAGCAUUUGCCAAGGAUGUUUUCAUUAAUCAGUGAACGAAAGUUAGGGGAUCGAAGACGAUCAGAUACCGUCGUAGUCUUAACCGUAAACUAUGCCGACUAGGGAUCGGGCGAUGUUCUUUUUCUGACUCGCUCGGCACCUUACGAGAAAUCAAAGUUUUUGGGUUCUGGGGGGAGUAUGGUCGCAAGGCUGAAACUUAAAGAAAUUGACGGAAGGGCACCACCAGGCGU